AGUCACUGACAUUAGAUACCCCCGUAGUCCAGGGUGUAAACGCUGCCGACUUGGUGUUGGAGGCCCUUCGGGGGCAUUCAGUGCCGGAGAGAAGUUGUUAAGUCGGCCACUUGGGGAGUACGUCCGCAAGGAUGAAACUUAAAGGAAUUGGCGGGGGAGCACCGCAACGGGAGGAGCGUGCGGUUUAAUUGGAUUCAACACCGUAAAACUCACCAGGGAAGACUGUUACAUGAAAGCCGAGAUGAAGACUCUGCUAGAUUUUCAG
rnacentral:rRNA from 1 species